GUGCUAGAGUUAUGUUUUAUGACGGUUUGGUGAUGGUUACUGAGUUUGAUUUUGUUAUUACGUGUUUGUGGGUUGAUUGGUGUUGAGUUACGGCUGUUUUUGAGAUUUGUUUGUGGCUUGUGUUGGUAACUGAUGUUAUAGCGCUGACAGUGUUUGGUAUGGCGGUGAGAAAUGUUGUGUCUGUGUGCUUAGCCGUGGAAUGUUUCUCUUGUUGGGCCCCCUUUUUGUCUUGGCUGCAUCUGUGUUUGUAUAUAUAGAGCUUGAAAUGAGCAAAAUUUUUGUUGCUUGGAGAGGAGACAUUACAGCCUGUUUUUAGUUGUUUGUGAGCUGUGUUUGGGACAUUAUCGGACCAAAUUUUGAUUUAUUUUUGGACAUUAAAAAAAUGAAAUUAAAGGACUAAGGAUAAAUAAAACAAAAAUAAGAUAAAAUAAAGGUUAA
rnacentral:lncRNA from 1 species